rnacentral:tRNA from 1 species
CCCCUGGUAGUCCAAUUGUUAGGUUGCAGCACUCUCACUGCUGUGACCUGGGUUCAAUUCCCGGUCAGGGAA